ACCGUACUCCUACGGGAGGCAGCAGUGGGGAAUUUUGGACAAUGGGGGCAACCCUGAUCCAGCAAUGCCGCGUGAGUGAAGAAGGCCUUCGGGUUGUAAAGCUCUUUCGGCCGGGAAGAAAUCGUGUUCUCUAACAUAGGACAUGGAUGACGGUACCGGACUAAGAAGCACCGGCUAACUACGUGCCAGCAGCCGCGGUAAUACGUAGGGUGCGAGCGUUAAUCGGAAUUACUGGGCGUAAAGCGUGCGCAGGCGGUUUUGUAAGACAGAUGUGAAAUCCCCGGGCUUAACCUGGGAACUGCGUUUGUGACUGCAAGGCUAGAGUACGGCAGAGGGGGGUGGAAUUCCUGGUGUAGCAGUGAAAUGCGUAGAUAUCAGGAGGAACACCGAUGGCGAAGGCAGCCCCCUGGGCCUGUACUGACGCUCAUGCACGAAAGCGUGGGGAGCAAACAGGAUUAGAAACCCGAGUAGUCCUUGAC
rnacentral:rRNA from 1 species